rnacentral:tRNA from 1 species
GAGGGUAUAGCUCAAGUGGUAAAGCACAUGCUUAGCAUACAUGAGGUUCUGGGUUCAACCCCCAGUGCCUCCU